rnacentral:rRNA from 1 species
CCUACGGGUGGCAGCAGUGAGGAAUAUUGGUCAAUGGGCGCGAGCCUGAACCAGCAAAGUCGCGUGAGGGAUGACGGUCCUACGGAUUGUAAACCUCUUUUGCCGGGGAGCAAGCGUGCGUUCGUGAACGCGCGUCGAGAGUACCCGGAGAAAAAGCAUCGGCUAACUCCGUGCCAGCAGCCGCGGGAAUACGGAGGAUGCGAGCGUUAUCCGGAUUUAAUGGGUGGAAAGGGGGCGCAGAGGGGGAGGCAGGAGAGGAGUGAAAGCCCGGGGCCCAACCCCGGGACUGCUCUUGGAACUGGGUGGCUGGAGUGCAGGAGGGGCAGGCGGAAUUCCUGGUGUAGCGGUGAAAUGCGUAGAUAUCAGGAGGAACACCGGUGGCGAAGGCGGCCUGCUGGACUGCAACUGACGUUGAGGCCCGAAAGCGUGGGGAGCAAACAGGAUUAGAUACCCGAGUAGUC